AUAUACCUAGUUUAAUAAGAAUAAUAGUUUGUCGUACUAUAGGUGUGAUUGAUUCUCGGGAUAUG
rnacentral:tRNA from 1 species